GCGGAUGUUGUGCAGUGGUGCACCGCUGCAUCUCAUACAAUGGCCCCCAAACUUGAGCAAUCUUGGGGUUCGACUCCCCGCGUCCGCA